rnacentral:rRNA from 1 species
AAGCAGCCUUCGGGCUGUGAGUAGAGCGGCGAACGGGUGAGUAACACGUGGGUAACCUGCCCAGGAGUGUGGAAUAACUUGGGGAAACUCGAGCUAAUACCGCAUACGUCCUGAGGGCUUCGGCCUGAAGAAGAAAGGCAGCCUCUGCUUGCAAGCAGUCGCUCCUGGAGGGGCCCGCGCCUGAUUAGCUAGUUGGUGAGGUAACGGCCCACCAAGGCUCCGAUCAGUAGCCGACCUGAGAGGGUGAUCGGCCACACUGGAACUGAGACACGGUCCAGACUCCUACGGGAGGCAGCAGUGAGGAAUAUUGCGCAAUGGGCGAAAGCCUGACGCAGCAACGCCGCGUGAGGGAUGAAGGCCUUCGGGUCGUAAACCUCUGUCAGGUGGAAAGAAGGUUUCCGCGGUAAAUAGCCGUGGAGAUUUGACGGUACCACCACAGGAAGCCCCGGCUAACUCCGUGCCAGCAGCCGCGGUAAUACGGAGGGGGCAAGCGUUAUUCGGAAUCAUUGGGCGUAAAGGGCGCGUAGGCGGCUUAGUAAGUUGAAGGUGAAAUCCCUCGGCUCAACCGAGGAACUGCCUUCAAAACUGCUUGGCUAGAGUCCGGGAGAGGGCAGUGGAAUUCCCAGUGUAGCGGUGAAAUGCGUAGAUAUUGGGAGGAACACCAGUGGCGAAGGCGACUGCCUGGACCGGAACUGACGCUGAGGCGCGAAAGCGUGGGGAGCAAACAGGAUUAGAUACCCUGGUAGUCCACGCUG